UAACCUUGGCAGGGGAUCACUUGGCUCAUGGAUCGAUGAAGACCGCAGCAAAAUGCGCGUCAUAAUGUGAACUGCAGGACACAUGAACACCGAUAAGUUGAACGCAUAUUGCACCUCAUACUG
rnacentral:rRNA from 1 species